GACGUAGGGCGCGAGCGUUGUCCGGAUUUAUUGGGCGUAAAGAGCUCGUAGGCGGUCUGUCGCGUCGGCUGUGAAAACCCGGAGCUCAACUCCGGGCCUGCAGUCGAUACGGGCAGACUGGAGUUCGGCAGGGGAGACUGGAAUUCCUGGUGUAGCGGUGAAAUGCGCAGAUAUCAGGAGGAACACCGGUGGCGAAGGCGGGUCUCUGGGCCAAAACUGACGCUGAGGAGCGAAAGCGUGGGGAGCGAACAGG
rnacentral:rRNA from 1 species